rnacentral:rRNA from 1 species
AUGCUUAGUGUGGCUCUACCAUAUAAGGUUGUUUUUGAGCGAUUAAAGAAGGUUGAGAAGCAAUACGAGAGUCUCCCUUCUAAGGAAGAAUGGGCUUUUGCUAUUGAUGUUGUAGAAAGGCUGCGGCUGUUCUUUGAAAUCACUGAAAUGUUUUCCGGGACUGAUUAUGUAACUGCCAACAUCUAUUUUCUCAAGAUUUGUGAAAUUAAAAUGAAUAUGAGGCAAUGGUCAACUUGCGGUAAUGAGGUGAUACAAGCCAUGACAUUUAGCAUGGAAGAUAAAUUUAACAAGUAUUGGACUGAUAUUCAAGGUCUAAUGGGAAUGGCUACACUUCUUGAUCCUCAGUACAAAAAUGAAAUGUUACUUGUUUGCUUUGCUAUGUUGCAUGGUAUUAGUCCUUCUAGUACAGAAUGUGAGGACCAUGUUAAUGGAAUAAUUGCCAAGAUAUGCACAUUGUUAGAGGAGUACAAUCUUGAGAGUGAUGAUGAUCAUGGACAAUCAUCUUCCUCAUUCUCUUCUCUGGAAGCUCCAGCCCUUAUGUCACUCUUCAAUGCACGUGUUGCUCAAAAGAGGCCAGCAUCUUUUAGGAUGAAAUCUGAACUAGACCGUUACUUGGAAGAUGAGCUAGUUCCAUUGUCCAAAGAUAAGUUCAGUGUGUUAGAUUGGUGGAAAGUUUCUGGAACACGCUAUCCAACUUUGAGGCUGCUAGCAUGUGAUGUUUUUGCAACUCCGGUCAGCACGGUUGCCUCAGAAUCAGCAUUCAGCACAAGUGGUAGAGUUCUAAGUGAUCACCGUAGUCGUCUUACCCCUGAAAUCUUAGAGGCCUUGAUGUGUUCACAAGAUUGGAUAAGAAACAAAUAUAAA